UUUGAACCGGUGAGGGAGAAAAGUAAAUAAGAGUACACAUGAAUAGAGAGGAAAUGCCUUUGGCUGAAAGCAUUUCUACAUGAUGACUUAUUGAAAAACACUCCUUAGGUUUCUCUCUGAAAAACAGUUUGUUUAGUAGGAGCAGAACGUUACAGGCGUUAACUGAUUGAGUGGAAAUAGUACUAUUAUUAUUUCAACUAGGGUGGAACCACGGGUAUAACUCUCGUCCCUACA
rnacentral:ncRNA from 1 species